rnacentral:misc_RNA from 1 species
UGCCACACGCAUAGCGGCAGCUUUUAUCGAAUUCCCGCUUCCGUUUAAACAAUGUAGCCCGUGCAACAGGACCCUCAAGUGUGCAACGUAUAGUACAAAAUUAUACAUACAAAAAAAUGUGAUAAAAGACAACCGGUAUUUUUUUUUUUAAUAAACAAACACCAUCAUGGAUCAGAAUCAGCUGGACAGCUCUCCGGAUCUCUCCCUUAAGUUGAGAAGGGGAUCGAGCGACUCCAGAGAUUCUUUUUAUAUGGAUUUCGAUAAAGGGAUUGACUCGGACAUCGAGGAGAUGGCGACUACUUCGGGGGCGGAUUUUGGGGGUGAUACCACCGGUGAGAUUACGCUCAUCACCCCGACGGCGGUUGAGGUUAAACCUGAAGGAGCCGGUUGGCCGAUGAUUCCACCACAAAAUAUGAGCGGUGGUAGUAGAAGUAGCGCGGUGUUGUUGGGUGGUAAAGACCCCCUUCUACCCUCACCUGCUUCUCCACAUCCCGUCAUAGUGUCACCGGAAACGUUAAGCCACUCUUCGCCGUCCAAAUCUACCGCUAAACAUGUCAACUCCUCGGGGCACACUGUCCAAAUUCAAACUCAUAGAACAAUAACCGCAGCACCCACGCUUACCAUGGCCGGAUAUUAUUAUCAGCAUCAGCCUCUUCCUAUUGUGAGAAGACUGAGUAGGGCUGAAAGGCAAGUUGAAUGGAGGCAGCUCGGAGCUGACGCCCUGGCAACCACCCUCUCGGCCCUUUAUGGAAAACUGCUCGUCGUCAUGGGCACGGCCUUUCCCAUGGCGGAAGUCAUAUCAACGUACAUCCCUCCGUCGUUUUACGAGGCCUAUUACCUUUAUUUAUAUAUUGGAAGUAUGCUUUUUCUACUUUAUAUGUAUAUGGUCCUGAUGCGGGAUAAACGAAAAAUGAAGAAGAGAGACAGGGAGUUGACUAGUAUAAAAUCGACGGCAACCAAGGAAGAAAUCAUAUCAGACGAGGAGUCGGACAACGAUUCAAACACGACAAGUGCCACGACAAUAUCGGAAGCUCCCAAGUAUCGAGCCAGGGUGUCCUCGUUUUCCGUAACGAAACAAAAUCACUAUGGAAGUUUUUAUUUGAGGAUGGGAGCAGUUGCAUUUGGAAUUGGCAGUAUGAUCUACUCAGGUCUAGAAUUUGGCCAAUACUUUGAAGUAGAAAGAAAUACGAAGUGCCAUAACGUCUUGCUCGCUUUAACUCCAGCUACAAGGAUGGCAUUUAUAUUUAUACAAAUGUACUUUAUAUUUUUAAAUAAUGAGCAAAUGCGCGUGUAUAAACAUAAGGUGGCAGCUCGUUUCGGUCUAAUGCAUAUGAUUGGAACGAAUUUAUCCGUUUGGCUGAACGUACUCGUUCAGGAAACUAAGCAUGAAAUAUUGACUUUUUAUAAUCCAGAGAAUAAUUCUUUGAGGAUAUCGCAUAGGAUACCUUAUAAAGGAAACGUGCUUGGUCUUCCAUUAGUCACCAGCGAACAUCCCCCGGAGGCACACGGUCAUCACAUCGUAGCGAGGGGACUUAAGGGUCCUCAUCACCUCUACGAAUGCCGACGCACGAACAUAAUUGGGUCCUUAGUACAAGACGCCUCGCCCUUUUUGUUUCCCUGCACGAUCGAGUACAGUUUAAUAUGCGCCGCCAUUCUCUACGUCAUGUGGAGGAGCAUAUCGAAGCUACCAAACUCCGGAAGUCAAAGUUUAAAAACCCGAACGGACCUAAGUGCUUACAAGAAAAGUCCCCAUCAUUAUUCCGUGGACUGUGCGAGGGCGCACAAAGGGUUAUUCGUCGGCAUUUUACUGCUGGUCCUAACGAUUAUCUCAUUAAUUUUAUUUUUCGUGUUGAUUUCACGUUCCGAGUUCGUCGGUCUUGCGGUGAUCGAGGUGAACAUUUGCGAGUUGACUUUGUACGGUUUAACCACGUUUGCGUCGGUCAUAGGCAUGUGGCAAGUCCGACAACUGAAGUACGACGGCACCAAGAAUCUACAGCUCGAUAAUAUUUUAUUGGUUGGUGCACAGACUGGCAUGUACAUUUACAGCACCUUCACAAUCAUCGGAGGUCAGUUCACUAUUCAAAAAAACACCGUCUUAGUCUUAGUCACGGCUGUAGCUUCGCUGCUACAGACCACUUGCCAAACGAUUUUUAUACUGGAUGCCUCCAGGCGGAGCUGCGCCACUCCGGAUCAAAUCAGGAAAAAACCCGGCAGGGAAAUCGUCACGUUUUUACUUGUGACCAACUUGGCCAUGUGGGCUAUCAACACGCUGGAGAAGUCCAGAGCCGAAUCGCAUCCCAUACAGCUCCAUUUUUAUGGACUUUGGGCUUGGACCAUCAUAACUCACGUGUCUAUGCCAUUGGCGAUCUUUUAUCGGUUUCAUUCUACCGUUUGUUUGUGUGAGAUUUGGAAGAGGGCCUAUAAAAUGAAACCUACUUAUAUGUAGUCCAAGUAGAACUGACAAGGAUGACCUUAAAAUGGUCACUACAGUCUACACAAACGACUGGCCAAUUUCUUUCUUGAGAGAGAACAGCGUGCUUCCCCGUUUCCUCCUUUCUUUGGAGAAACGCUAUUGCUGUAACUAUAGAUUCGUUACAGUGAACUAAUUUAUUGAUCUCCGCACUCCUAAUCUGAGUUGGCCCGACCUGUGUACAGCCCAUUCACAAUCUUUGAUCCCUAUAAGAAACAUCUUGUAACUUGGAAAGCGCUGAGAACUUUAAUGCAGGUUUUUUUGAUAAUAUAAUAAAUAUCUUGGAAAGAAAAAUUAACCGUAAAUGUCGACUCUUGGACGUUCCAGUUACAUAACAAUGAGACUAAUGCGAGGGACGUCCUUUUACAUCAAGUCUGCGGGAUGAACCAGGGACGUACCACAAAUGGGAUCAUCCCAAAUUCACAUAGACGUCCUGUGGUUAGUACUAUAAACGUACUGGGAACUUAUUGACUGUCCAGGUGUAUAUAAGACACUAAUAUUUGUGUUUUUCGAGCAUUUAUAUAGGAAAUAAAAGAUGUGGUAACAGAACUAUACAAAGGGAUGUAUAUUUUAGAAAAAGACACUUUUAUUUCCAUAAUAACAAUAAUAAUUUGUAUUUACCAUUUCAGCCUUUCAGGGGCUUCGCAAAACCAUAACUCAAUACAUUUUCGUGCAACUUGUAUUUUUUUGGGACAAGCGUUAAUCCUCCUAAAAUUAAAAAUAUCACUUAGUACAAUAAUAAUUAGGAUGGUCAUAAGGUGUUAUAACAAAAGGCUCCUGUAGUAUACAAGUGACUUCAACAGAUACCGUUGACGUAUCACCUUUAUGUCAUUAAAAUUUAAGAGAAUUUCUGCAUUUUAACCAUUUACUAUUGGUAAGUUUUAACUGAAAUUUGCAGGAGGUACAUUUAAGUCUGAACUUUAAAUCUAAAUAUUUUGCUUGAUAUUUCAAAUGUUGUUGAUCCUAUGGAUUUUUUUUAAAUUAAAAAUUAAACUGGAUUAAAUUGCCUUCAAAAAACUCUUAUACAACUUUUACGUAAUAUCAACAUAGUUCAAGAUAUCUUGGAAGGAAAUUUGUAGGAGGUACAUUUAAGUCUGAACUUUGAACCUGAAUAUUUUGCUCGAUAUCUCAAUUGUUGUUAAUUUUAAGUUUUUUUUUUUAAUUAAGAAUUAAACUGGAUUAAAUUUCCUUCAAAAAACUCUUAUACAACUUUUACGUAAUAUCAACAUAGUUCAAGAUAUCUUGGAAGGAAAUUUGCAGGAGGUACAUUUAAGUCUGAACUUUGAACCUGAAUAUUUUGCUUGAUAUCUUAAAUGUUGUUGAUCUUAUGGAUUUUUUUUUAAAUUAAAAAUUAAACUGGAUUAAAUUUUCUUUAAAAAACUCUUAUACAACGUUUACGUAAUAUCAACAUAGUUCAAGAUAUCUUGGAACGAAAUUUGCAGGAGGUACAUUUAAGUCUGAACUUUGAACCUGAAUAUUUUGCUCGAUAUCUCAAUUGUUGUUAAUUUUAAGUUUUUUUUUUUUAAUUAAGAAUUAAACUGGAUUAAAUUUCCUUCAAAAAACUCUUAUACAACUUUUACGUAAUAUCAACAUAGUUCAAGAUAUCUUGGAAGGAAAUUUGCAGGAGGUACAUUUAAGUCUGAACUUUGAACCUGAAUAUUUUGCUUGAUAUCUUAAAUGUUGUUGAUCUUAUGGAUUUUUUUUUAAAUUAAAAAUUAAACUGGAUUAAAUUUUCUUUAAAAAACUCUUAUACAACGUUUACGUAAUAUCAACAUAGUUCAAGAUAUCUUGGAACGAAAUUUGCAGGAGGUACAUUUAAGUCUGAACUUUGAACCUGAAUAUUUUGCUUGAUAUCUCAAAUGUUGUUAAUCUUAUGAUUUUUUUUUAUUAAGAAUUAAACUGGAAUAAAUUUCCUUCAAAAAACUCUUAUACAACUUUUACGUAAUAUCAACGUAGUUCAAGAUAUCUUGGAACGAAAUUUGCAGGAGGUACAUUUAAGUCUGAACUUUGAACCUGAAUAUUUUGCUUGAUAUCUCAAAUGUUGUUAAUCUUAUGAUUUUUUUUUAUUAAGAAUUAAACUGGAAUAAAUUUCCUUCAAAAAACUCUUAUACAACUUUUACGUAAUAUCAACGUAGUUCAAGAUAUCUUGGAACGAAAUUUGCAGGAGGUACAUUUAAGUCUGAACUUUGAACCUGAAUAUUUUGCACAAACUUUUAAGCAUUCGAAUCAUUUCUUACCCUUUUUGCAUUUAAUAAAUUUAAAUUCAUAAUCAUGCUUAAAUUGCUCUAAAUUACUAUUGCAUCUUUAGGCACUUUAAAUAUUAUUCAGGUACUAACCUUCUUUUAGCACUAUACUAUAGCAGCGUAGAAUCAAACCACUAAACAUAAAAGUAUAGUCGAUAGGGAUUAAACGUCCAAAAUCCAAAAAUUAAAUAAAAAAAUCAAAAAAGUCACAAUAACGCAAUGAACUGAACCACGAUAUACAAAAACUGUGUUACUGUUUGUUUAACUGAGAGAAUUGUCGACAACAGCGACAUCUCCAUGUCGUGGAAUAGAACUAAACGGAAACGGGGUUUGACGGUUACUCCAGAAUAAGGCGCCAAAUUUGAAUUUUAUUUUAUGGCAAAAUAUGGAGGUUCUGUAAUUAGAAUAAAUGAUAUUUAUUUAUUUGAACAAAUCGAAUCCCAAUAAUUCCUAACUACUUCUAUAUAGUCUUGCAAUUUUUUUAAUAAAAAAUUAUAAAUUGUUAGAAAAGUCAUAUGUACAUUCGCGAUUACUGCUUAACUAACACUCGAUAUAAACAUAAAUAUCCAAGAGCCAUGCCACGAAUAUCCUAAAUCUGACAAUGCCACCCAGAACGUCCAAUAGAUGUCUCACGGUGUUUUUUUGUGACCCAUAUAGUACGUCUCCAGAAUAAUAGGUGUUAAAAUACAUAAAAUACACACUAAACUUAAAUUAAUUGAAUACAUAUGACCACGUGCUAUAGGACAGAUACUCUCUCGGUACCAGACAAGGGUGGGGAUGCUACGAAGUUAAAUUACAGGUCUUAAUAGUUUAUGAUAGUUCGUUACACACAAAUAUAAUUUUCAAAAUAUAAUGUAUGUACAUUUGAGAUGCUAAACACCUUUUUUGCUCAAAUAUUUAAAGUCUUAUUGUAAUAUACCGUAUUCAUUUGUGCGUAUUUAUUAAAAAUAAUGUUUAUGCUCUCUUUUGGGUCUAUUAAAUUAGGUAUAUGAAUCGUAUACAGAAUAGAUAUCUUGCAUUUCCAAUGAAGGAACAUUUUCGCUUUAGUUGGCGAGUAUAUGGACCCUUAUUUUUAAGUUCUAGCUGAUAGAUCAUUGUCCUUGUCAUACAUGUGCAAUAUAUAAUAAAAAGAGAACAACAAACUUAUAUACAAUAUGUAUAUAUGCAAGUUUCCUAUAUUAUAGUAACUUCGAUAUCCUUCAAGCAAAUAUAUGCCAUUAUUAUCUACAAACACUAUUAUAAUAACAAUCAUACAAGUAUUUUAGGAUAUAUGGAAUAUUCCAAUAUUUAUUAAUGAAAAAAAAAACCCAACUAGAUUAAAGUAUUUUUUACAUUUUUAUACGCUUUUUUAUAACUUUACUAGAUUAAGGAAUCAUCAAAUAAUAUAGGUAUAGACACAUAGUACAAAUAGUUAAUAUUUA